GACGAACGCUGGCGGCGUGCUUAACACAUGCAAGUCGAACGGAAAGGCCCUGCUUUUGUGGGGUGCUCGAGUGGCGAACGGGUGAGUAACACGUGAGUAACCUGCCCUUAACUUUGGGAUAACUUCAGGAAACUGGGGCUAAUACCGGAUAGGAGCUCCUGCUGCAUGGUGGGGGUUGGAAAGUUUCGGCGGUUGGGGAUGGACUCGCGGCUUAUCAGCUUGUUGGUGGGGUAGUGGCUUACCAAGGCUUUGACGGGUAGCCGGCCUGAGAGGGUGACCGGCCACAGUGGGACUGAGAUACGGCCCAGACUCCUACGGGAGGCAGCAGUGGGGAAUAUUGCACAAUGGGCGGAAGCCUGAUGCAGCAACGCCGCGUGCGGGAUGACGGCCUUCGGGUUGUAAACCGCUUUCGCCUGUGACGAAGCGUGAGUGACGGUAAUGGGUAAAGAAGCACCGGCUAACUACGU
rnacentral:rRNA from 1 species